rnacentral:rRNA from 1 species
AUUGAACGCUGGCGGCAGGCCUAACACAUGCAAGUCGAGCGGAUGAAGGGAGCUUGCUCCUGGAUUCAGCGGCGGACGGGUGAGUAAUGCCUAGGAAUCUGCCUGGUAGUGGGGGAUAACGUCCGGAAACGGGCGCUAAUACCGCAUACGUCCUGAGGGAGAAAGUGGGGGAUCUUCGGACCUCACGCUAUCAGAUGAGCCUAGGUCGGAUUAGCUAGUUGGUGGGGUAAAGGCCUACCAAGGCGACGAUCCGUAACUGGUCUGAGAGGAUGAUCAGUCACAAUGGAAACUAGACACCGGCCAGACCUCUAACGGAGGGAGGCGGUGGGAAUAUUUGACCAUGGGGCGAAGGCUUAUCCCGGCCAUGCCGGGGUUGGAAAGAGGGUCUCCGGUUGGUAAGGCCCUUAAGGUGGGGGGAAAGGCAGUAAGGUAAUAACUUGCUUUUUUGACGGUACCCAAAGAAUAAGCCACGGCUAACUUCGUG